rnacentral:rRNA from 1 species
GACGGAGGAUGCAAGUGUUAUCCGGAAUCACUGGGCGUAAAGCGUCUGUAGGUGGUUCGAAAAGUCCACUGUUAAAAAUUGAGGCUUAACUUCAAAGAUGCCGUGGAAACUUUCAAACUAGAGUAUGGUAGGGGUAGAGGGAAUUUCCAGUGGAGCGGUGAAAUGCGUAGAUAUCAUUUGGAACGCCAAAGGCGAAAGCAGGCUGCUGGGAGUGAUCUGACACUGAGACGCGAAAGCCAGGGAGCAAACGGG